GAUGAACGCCGGCGGCGUGCUUAACACAUGCAAGUCGAACGGAAAGGCUCCUGCUUGCAGGGGUACUCGAGUGGCGAACGGGUGAGUAACACGUGGGUGAUCUGCCCUGCACUUCGGGAUAAGCUUGGGAAACUGGGUCUAAUACCGGAUAGGACCGCAUUUUGGAUGGUGUGGUGGAAAGUUUUUUCGGUGUGGGAUGAGCUCGCGGCCUAUCAGCUUGUUGGUGGGGUAAUGGCCUACCAAGGCGUCGACGGGUAGCCGGCCUGAGAGGGUGUACGGCCACAUUGGGACUGAGAUACGGCCCAGACUCCUACGGGAGGCAGCAGUGGGGAAUAUUGCACAAUGGGCGCAAGCCUGAUGCAGCGACGCCGCGUGGGGGAUGACGGCCUUCGGGUUGUAAACUCCUUUCGCUAGGGACGAAGAGUAAUUGACGGUACCUGGAGAAGAAGCACCGGCUAACUACGUG
rnacentral:rRNA from 1 species